rnacentral:misc_RNA from 1 species
CUAAGGAAAAAAUAAAAUUAUCAUCUUCAGUUUKGRACAGACCAAAA